rnacentral:rRNA from 1 species
GUAGGGGGCAAGCGUUGUCCGGAUUUACUGGGCGUAAAGAGCGUGUAGGCGGCCAAGCAGGUCUGUUGUGAAAACUGGAGGCUCAACCUCCAGACGUCGACAGAAACCGCUUGGCUAGAGUCCGGAAGAGGAGAGUGGAAUUCCUGGUGUAGCGGUGAAAUGCGCAGAUAUCAGGAAGAACACCAAUGGCGAAGGCAGCUCUCUGGGACGGUACUGACGCUGAGACGCGAAAGCGUGGGGAGCGAACAGGAUUAGAUACCCUGGUAGUCCACGCCGUAAACGAUGGGUGCUAGGUGUGGGAGGUGUCGACUCCUUCCGUGCCGCAGCUAACGCAUUAAGCACCCCGCCUGGGGAGUACGGCCGCAAGGCUAAA